AUUGAACGCUGGCGGAAUGCUUUACACAUGCAAGUCGGGCGGCAGCGCGGGGGGCAACCCUGGCGGCGAGCGGCGAACGGGUGAGUAAUACAUCGGAACGUGUCCUUCAAGUGGGGGAUAGCUCGGCGAAAGCCGGAUUAAUACCGCAUAAGCUCUGAGGAGGAAAGCGGGGGACUGGUAACGGCCUCGCGCUGUUGGAGCGGCCGAUGUCGGAUUAGCUAGUUGGUGGGGUAAAGGCCCACCAAGGCGACGAUCCGUAGCUGGUCUGAGAGGAUGAUCAGCCACACUGGAACUGAGACACGGUCCAGACUCCUACGGGAGGCAGCAGUGGGGAAUUUUGGACAAUGGGGGCAACCCUGAUCCAGCCAUUCCGCGUGAGUGAAGAA
rnacentral:rRNA from 1 species